rnacentral:rRNA from 1 species
UGAGGAAUAUUGGGCAAUGGGCGAAAGCCUGACCCAGCAACGCCGCGUGAGGGAUGAAGGCCUUCGGGUUGUAAACCUCUUUUAUUGGUGAAGAGCAAGGACGGUAACCAAUGAAUAAGCCUCGGCUAACUACGUGCCAGCAGCCGCGGUAAUACGUAGGAGGCGAGCGUUAUCCGGAUUUACUGGGCGUAAAGCGCGUGUAGGCGGCUUUCUAAGUUGGCAGUGAAAGGUUCCGGCUCAACUGGGAUUUGCCUGUCAAUACUGGAGAGCUUGAGGGCACCAGAGGAAAGUGGAACUCGCGGUGUAGCGGUGAAAUGUGUAGAUAUCGCGAGGAACACCAGUGGCGAAGGCGGCUUUCUGGGGUGUUCCUGACGCUGAGGCGCGAAAGCGUGGGGAGCGAAGCGGAUUAGAUACCCGCGUAGUCCACGCCCUAAACGGUGGAUACUUGGUAUGGGGGGUAUCGACCCCCUCCGUGCCGAAGCUAACGCUUUAAGUAUCCCGCCUGGGAACUACGGUCGCAAGACUA